GUGCCAGCCGCCGCGGUAAUACGUAGGGUGCAAGCGUUAAUCGGAAUUACUGGGCGUAAAGCGUGCGCAGGCGGUUUUGUAAGUCUGACGUGAAAUCCCCGGGCUCAACCUGGGAAUUGCGUUGGAGACUGCAAGGCUGGAGUCUGGCAGAGGGGGGUAGAAUUCCACGUGUAGCAGUGAAAUGCGUAGAGAUGUGGAGGAACACCGAUGGCGAAGGCAGCCCCCUGGGUCAAGACUGACGCUCAUGCACGAAAGCGUGGGGAGCAAACAGGAUUAGAUACCCCGGUAGUCC
rnacentral:rRNA from 1 species